rnacentral:rRNA from 1 species
GACGAACGCUGGCGGCGUGCUUAACACAUGCAAGUCGAACGGAAAGGCCCUGCUUGCAGGGUACUCGAGUGGCGAACGGGUGAGUAACACGUGGGUGAUCUGCCCUGCACUUCGGGAUAAGCCUGGGAAACUGGGUCUAAUACCGGGUAGGAGCCAUUUUUAGGGUGAUGGUUGGAAAGUUUUUUCGGUGUAGGAUGAGCUCGCGGCCUAUCAGCUUGUUGGUGGGGUAAUGGCCUACCAAGGCGGCGACGGGUAGCCGGCCUGAGAGGGUGGACGGCCACAUUGGGACUUGGAUACGGCCCAGACUCCUACGGGAGGCAGCAGUGGGGAAUAUUGCACAAUGGGCGCGAGCCUGAUGCAGCGACGCCGCGUGGGGGAUGACGGCCUUCGGGUUGUAAACUCCUUUCGCUAGGGACGAAGCUUUUUGUGACGGUACCUAGAUAAGAAGCACCGGCUAACUACGUG